CCUGCGGAAGGAUCAUUAAAUAAUCAAUAAUUUUGGCUUGUCCAUCAUUAUCUAUUUACUGUGAACUGUAUUAUUACUUGACGCUUGAGGGAUGUUCCAUUGCUAUAAGGAUAGGCACUGGAAAUGUUAACCGAGUCAUAAUCAAGCUUAGGCUUGGUAUCCUAUUAUUAUUUACCAAAAGAAUUCAGAAUUAAUAUUGUAACAUAGACGUAAAAAAUCUAUAAAACAACUUUUAACAACGGAUCUCUUGGUUCUCGCAUCGAUGAAGAACGUAGCAAAGUGCGAUAACUAGUGUGAAUUGCAUAUUCAGUGAAUCAUCGAGUCUUUGAACGCAACUUGCGCUCAUUGGUAUUCCAAUGAGCACGCCUGUUUCAGUAUCAAAACAAACCCUCUAUCCAACUUUUGUUGAAUAGGAUGACUGAGAGUCUCCUGAUCUAUUCUGAUCUYGAACCUCUUGAAAUGUACAAAGGCCUGAUCUUGUUUGAAUGCCUGAACUUUUUUUUAAUAUAAAGAGAAGCUCUUGCGAUAAAACUGUGCUGGGGCCUCCCAAAUAACACAUCUUUAAAUUUGAUCUGAAAUCAGGUGGGAUUACCCGCUGAACUUAAGCAUAUCAAUAAGCGGAGG
rnacentral:rRNA from 1 species